GACGAACGCUGGCGGCGUGCUUAACACAUGCAAGUGGAGCGACGAACCGGGCUUCGGCCCGGGGCAAAGCCGCGAACGGGUGAGUAUCACGUGGGUAACCUGCCCCGACGACCGGGACAACCCGAGGAAACUCGGGCUAAUACCGGAUGUGCUCCUCGCACACCCGUGCGAGGAGGAAAGGAAGCUUCGGCCUCCGCAUCGGGAUGGGCCCGCGGCCCAUUAGCUUGAUGGUGAGGUAAAGGCUCACCAAGGCGACGAUGGGUAGCUGGUCUGAGAGGACGAUCAGCCACACUGGGACUGAGACACGGCCCAGACUCCUACGGGAGUCAGCAGUGGGGAAUCUUGCGCAAUGCGCGAAAGCGUGACGCAGCAACGCCGCGUGAGGGAAGAAGGCCUUCGGGUUGUAAACCUCUUUCAGGAGGGACGAAGGUUCAGGCGCGAAUAGCGUCCUGGACUGACGGUACCUCCAGAAGAAGCCCCGGCUAACUACGUGCCAGCCGCCGCGGUAAGAC
rnacentral:rRNA from 1 species